rnacentral:rRNA from 1 species
CUUGGGGGUUGCUUACCAUGCAGUCGACGAUGUACCAUACCUAUUGCUCCCACCGGAGAGGAGUACGUCGGGAGCUGCCUUUAUGUGGGGGAUGACCCGGGGAAAGCCGUAUUAGUACCGCAUGACCUCUAAUGACGGAUACGGGGCACCGCAAGGUCUCUCGCUUUUGGAAAAACCUACGUCCCAUUAUGUAGUUGCGGACUAUACGGCUCAUGGUGAGGACGAUCCUCACCUGGCCUGAGAGGAUGAUCCGUCACACCGGAACUGACACACGGUCCGGACUCCUACGGCAGGCCACACUGCUAAAUAUUGGACAAUGGGCGAAAAUUGGAUCCAGCAAUACCGCGUGUGGGAACAACGCCUUCGGGUUGUAAACGACUUUAAGGUUGUAAAAAAAAGCUUCACCUAAUACGUGGAGCCUUGACGGUCCCGACAGAAUAACCCCCGGCUAAUUCUGGGCCACCACCCGCGGUAAUACUAAGGGGGCUACCGUUAAUCGAAUUAACGGGCCUAAAAACGUGCGUAGGCGUUUUGAUAAGCCGCUUGGGAAACCCCCGGCUUUAACUCGGGAAUUGCGGGCGAUACUGUCAAACUCGAAAACGGUAGAGAGAUUGGAAACUCCGGGUGUACCGUGGAAAUGCGUAUAUAUCUGGAAAAACACCGAUGGCAAAGGCAACCUCCUGGGCCUGUUUUGACGCUGAGGCCAAAAGCGUGGGUAGCAAACAGAAUUAUAUACCUGGGUAGUCCACGCCCGAAAACGAGGGAGAACUUGUCGUUGGUUUGCUUCACGGAUUCCGUGGUCGUAACUAACGGGAUUAAGUUCUCCCGGCCUGGGGAGUACGGCCGCAAGGUUUAAAACUCAAAGGAAUUUGACCGGGGGCCCGCACAAAGCGGUGGAAGUAUGCGGUUUAAUUUCAAUGCCAACGCGAAGAACCUUUACCUAGGGCUUGGACAUGUAACUGAGUCAGGCUGAGAAAGCGUCUGCUGCCGUACGGGAAAGUUGAACAGACGGUGCUUGGAUGGGUUGUCCGCCCCGUCCGCGGUCGAGGAAGAUGU